UACGUAGGGUGCGAGCGUUGUCCGGAAUUACUGGGCGUAAAGGGCUUGUAGGUGGUUUGUCGCGUUGUUCGUGAAAACUCAAGGCUUAACUUUGGGCGUGCGGGCGAUACGGGCAGACUGGAGUACUGCAGGGGAGACUGGAAUUCCUGGUGUAGCGGUGGAAUGCGCAGAUAUCAGGAGGAACACCGGUGGCGAAGGCGGGUCUCUGGGCAGUAACUGACGCUGAGGAGCGAAAGCGUGGGGAGCGAACAGG
rnacentral:rRNA from 1 species